GGCAAAGUGCCAGAGUGGUUAAUGGGUGGCACUCGAAAGUACAAUCAACGUGCAGUAAUGCCAUGUCUUCGGACGCGCAGGUUCAAAUCCUGUCUUUGUCG